AGCACGGCUGAACAACAUCGGCAGGGCUGAUCUAACAGAGGCGAAAACCAAAACAGCUCGUGUUUGCAGUAAUCAUUUUAUCUCAGGAGCACCAGCCAAAUUAUACGAUAGAAACAAUCCAGACUGGGCACCCACUCAGAACAUGGGCUACGUUUCGUCCAAGGUCGGACUUGAUUCUUCGGCAGCCAAACCAGAUAUCUGGGUAUUCGAUGUGAUACCUUCGGUCCAGCACGGCUCUGGGUCAACGUACUCCUCCACUGCCUCGACCACCACAGCCUCCUCGACCUCCGGCUUAAUGUCUAUCGUGCUGCCUUCUGACGAGCUGCUGUCAUCCAGCUAACAAACGUGAA